GCGCUGGUCACUCAGCGGGCUCAGGGCCGGGCCUUCUGGCUGGCGUCCGGCUGGUGGAAGGGGCGGGCAGGGUGGCGGCCCCAGGCUUGGUCAGAGAUGUUGAUGGAUGGAGAGGCUGAUAAGGAGCCUCGUUGGACGGCAGCCGGGAGGGCGGGUGCAUCCUGUUUGCCGAGGCUCUUGUGGCCCUGGUGUGGCCGAUCCAGGCAGGCCCUGGUCCUCCUGGGAGUCACAGCAGGAGAAGGCCCAGGCCCUGCUCAGGCAGAAACCCAGCGACCCCCUUGGAAUUUCCACAGCUCAGUGGAGGAGCGCCUGCCCACACGAGGGAGGCCCAGGUUCCAGGCCCGGAGAAUCCAAAAGGACAUAGGAAAAUGAAAAGAUAAGCCACGGGACAGGACAAAACAUUUGCCCAUCCUGAGUCUGAAAGGGGAACCUGAAUCCAGAAUAUACUGAAAACAAAAACAAAGGAAUCUUGCAAACCAGGCAUGGCACACUGUGGUCCCAGCGACCUGGGAGGCUGAGGCGGAAGGAUCGCAAGUUUGAGGCCAGCCUCCACAACGUAGAGAGACCCUGUCUCAAAAUACAGAAAAAGUAAAUAAAAAGGCUGGAGAAGUUGCUCAGUGGUAAAGCGCCCUGGGUUCAACCCCCAGUACCAGAAGAAAAGAAAAGGAAAAAAAUGAAACAAAGAAAAG
rnacentral:lncRNA from 1 species